UGCCUACGGGGGGCUGCAGUAGGGAAUAUUGGUAAUCUGGGAAACCGGGAACCAGCAACGCCGCGUGUGCGAUGAAGGCCUUCGGGUUGUAAAGCACUUUUUAAGAGGAUGAGGAAGGACAGUACUCUUAGAAUAAGCCUCGGCUAACUACGUGCCAGCAGCCGCGGUAACACGUAGGAGGCAAGCGUUAUUCGGAUUUACUGGGCGUAAAGCGCGUGCAGGCGGUUUGGUAAGUUGGAUGUGAAAGCUCCUGGCUUAACUGGGAGAGGUCGUUCAAUACUACCAGACUAGAGUAUGGGAGAGGGAGGUGGAAUUCCGGGUGUAGUGGUGAAAUGCGUAGAUAUCCGGAGGAACACCAGUGGCGAAAGCGGCCUCCUGGCCCAUUUCUGACGCUCAGACGCGAAAGCUAGGGUAGCAAACGGGAUUAGAUACCCUAGUAGUCGA
rnacentral:rRNA from 1 species